rnacentral:lncRNA from 10 species
AGUCCAUCGGGAAUUGAAUUUUCCAUAAGGCAUGAGAUUGUGAAUAUGAUGGUGGUCCCAUAAGAUUGCAAUGGAGCUCCCCUAUACAGCUCAAGUCAAUGUGAAAAUUCUGUUAGCUUCUGUUAGCAUCAUGUUCAACAACUGUCAGUCCUUUGAUGUUCAAAGAACAAGCACAGAACAUGGUGGAUAAAUAAGAAUAUACAGCUGUAAGCAUAAGCUGAGAGUUAGUUAUAUUCACUAACAAGUUGGUCUGAAAAGGUCUUCUGAUGACUGAAAAGCAAACUUUUAUUUUAUUUUAUUUUAUUUUAUUUUGUAUAUUUUUUUUGAGAUGGAGUCUCGCUCUGUCGCCCAGGCU